GAUGAACGCUGGCGGCGUGCCUAAUACAUGCAAGUCGAGCGAAUGGAUUAAGAGCUUGCUCUUAUGAAGUUAGCGGCGGACGGGUGAGUAACACGUGGGUGACCUGCCCAUAAGACUGGGAUAACUCCGGGAAACCGGGGCUAAUACCGGAUAACAUUUAGAACCGCAUGGUUCGAAAUUGAAAGGCGGCUUCGGCUGUCACUUAUGGACGGACCCGCGUCGCAUUAGCUAGUUGGUGAGGUACCGGCUCACCAAGGCAACGAUGCGUAGCCGACCUGAGAGGGUGAUCGGCCACACUGGGACUGAGACACGGCCCAGACUCCUACGGGAGGCAGCAGUAGGGAAUCUUCCGCAAUGGACGAAAGUCUGACGGAGCAACGCCGCGUGAGUGAUGAAGGCUUUCGGGUCGUAAAACUCUGUUGUUAGGGAAGAACAAGUGCUAGUUGAAUAAGCUGGCACCUUGACGGUACCUAACCAGAAAGCCACGGCUAACUACGUGCCAGCCGCCGCAGUAA
rnacentral:rRNA from 1 species